UUGGUUGUGCUGUUUUGUUUCCCUCUAUGUGUUUAUGUUUUCACCCAGCACGUGUGCCUCAUCAUCUCAUUUGCGCUCCUCAACUGAUCCUUGUUUUAUGCUCUCGUUUGCUAUUUAAGUUGUCAUGCCCUUUCCUCCUUGCUGGUUCGUCAUUGUUUUUGCCAUGAUUUAGUUCUAGCCAUUCCUAGUGUUGUGAUUUUUUUGUUUUGUCCGAGUUUCGUUUAGUUAUUUUAGUGUUUGUUGUUUUUGCAUUAUUUACCUUGUCUCUGCUGUUCACUGACGCUCUCUCCGUGAGACUUUAAUUCACUUUACGAGAGACACAUCCUGUUUUUAAAGGUCAACUGUAAGCUUCAUUCCCUUUAAAGCAGGUAAUCUUCAUAUUGUUUUAAAUGAUAUAUUUCAGGGACUCUGCUUUAACAAUGACUUAGGAUAAUGAUUUGUUAUAGUGUUUGUUAUAAAGCAUAUACAUGUAUAUUUUACAUUAAGUUUAUUAAACUAAUUAUGAAAAGAAUGUGGUACAAUGAUGGUAAUAGGGUGCUGAAGUUGUGCCAGUCCGAAAGCCAUUUCUUUUGUUUUACUGA